CGGAGGGGGCGAGCGUUGUCCGAAGUUACUGGGCGUAAAGCGCGCGUAGGCGGGUCAGCAAGUCCGCUGUGAAAGCCCGAGGCUUAACCUCGGCGGGUCGGUGGAUACUGUUGGUCUUGAAGGUGUUAGGGGGAGAUGGAAUGACCGGUGUAGCGGUGAAAUGCGUAGAUAUCGGUCGGAACACCAGUGGCGAAGGCGGUCUCCUGGGGCAUUCUUGACGCUGAUGCGCGAAAGCUGGGGGAGCGAACGGGAUUAGAUACCCCGGUAGUCCCAGCCCUAAACGAUGGAUACUAGGUGUCGGGGGUAUCGACCCCCCCGGUGCCGUCGCUAACGCAGUAAGUAUCCCGCCUGGGGAGUACGGCCGCAAGGUUG
rnacentral:rRNA from 1 species